rnacentral:tRNA from 1 species
GGAAGAUUGGCAGAGCGGCUGCAUGCAGCUGGUUGCUAACCAGUAGGGCCUUACGGGGCUCCAGAGGUUCAAAUCCCCUCUCUUCCGCCA